rnacentral:misc_RNA from 1 species
GAAAUGCGAUAAGUAAUGUGAAUUGCAGAAUUCAGUGAAUCAUCGAAUCUUUGAACGCACAUUGCGCCCCUUGGUAUUCCAUGGGGCAUGCCUGUUCGAGCGUCAUCUACACCCUCAAGCUCUGCUUGGUGUUGGGCGUCUGUUCCGCCUCCGCGCGGGACUCGCCCCAAAGGCAUUGGCAGCGGUCUCUUGCACCUCUCGCGCAGCACAUUGCGCUUCUCGAGGCGAGGCAGGCCGCGACCACGAAGCCACACAUCGUCUUUGACCUCGGAUCAGGUAGGGAUACCCGCUGAACUUAA